GUGAAUCAUCAAAUCUUUGAACGCAAAUUGCACUCUCCGGUUUUCCGGGAGAGUAUGCCUGUUUGAGGGUCAGCCUAAAAAAAAUCGACAUUGUUGCUGUUAUUUAAUGGUGACUUUCGUCGGAGAUUGGGUUAUCUUAAACCUUUUUUUUUUUUUUUGUUUAAGCGAUUUAAAAUUUUUUUUCACGUUUCCAUUAAGGUUUUAAAUUUUUUUAUUUUUUAUCUGUUUUAGGUUUAUC
rnacentral:misc_RNA from 1 species